ACUUAGUAUGAAGAAUAUCAGAACAUUUUGAGGUUGCUGCUAUUCAAUAUUUAUUUCGUGAAUGCUAACACCAUGUUAAGUAACUUCCCCAAAGGCUUCAGAGUGAAAGUGGUCAGAAUCAAGAAACAA